AUAUAUAUAUAUAUAUAUAUAUAUAUUAUCAUAUCAGACACACACGCAAACGGUCUCUGUAUAAAUUGUACAAAGUUAUUCUAACGAGAUUAGUCAUUAGUUAUUAAUUUAUACGCCGUAUCGAUUAAAGUCGUAUUACGUAACGAGAAAGACAUGUAAGGUGUUUCGUGUACUCUGUUUAUUACACACGUAUGCAACACGAUAUGACACGUAAAAUUGAAAACUCGCUAGAAAUGUGCGUUUCGAAGUUGUACUGCCGAUGCAAAGUGUGUUAUUUUCAAAUGCGUACCUGAUUCCGAUUUUAUUAAAUGUUUCCGCCGCCGCGGUCUAAUUUUUCUCAUGGGAUGGAUAAUUAUAAAUGUGAAUCAUAAAUUUAAAUAUCAUAUGUUCAUAAAACUUUUUUUUAUUAAUAUUAUAUUAUUAUUAGAGAUAAAGUAUUAUAAAAAUAAAAAUAUAAAAAGUUGUUAGAAUUUGUGAAAUAAUGAAAGCGAUAUAUGUAACACGAUUCGUAAAUAAUUUUUAAAUUUUUACACUUUGAAAAGUGAUACUCCUUAGGCCUUUGUAUAUUUUUUCUUCCGCAUUUAUUUUUUAGUUUUCUUUGCGAUCUGUGGAAUUUUAGAUCGAAAACGCAACGAAAUUAAUUUGCAUUCGUAGUGAAAGCACGUUUGCAUGGGGAUUAAAAAAAUUGUACACUAUGAAAACCGUGAAAUUAUAUUACUGUAUGUGGACUCUCGUCUUUCUUUCCUUUGAAACGCAUAUUUUUAAUAAGAGAGAGAGAGAGAGAGAGAGAGAGAGAGAGAGAGAAUGUUGCGUCUAUUCGUAGAAUUUACAAUGUCGCAUUUACGGAUGAUUCGGAUCAGCGUUUUUCGCAUUAUAUUUCGAUAGACUUCGGAUUUAAAGAGAAGAGCUAUAUAAAUCUCAGAAUAAACGUCAUGUAAUGAAUAAAACAUUUACUACAAGAAAAUUGUCACAAGAAUUUCAUUUUUAACGAAUAAAUUUGCAUAUAUGCAAAUAUUUAUCAAGACUACGACUGAGAAUGCAUGCAUGUUAAGUACUCCACAUUUAGCAUUUACUAACGACACAGCAUUUCCUGAAUGUGCUACAUAAUUAUUUUAUGCGAAUUUAAUUAUUCAAGAAGAAAGAUUUAAAAAAGUGUAAAUUUUUGAUAAAACCAAAAUGCUAAGUUAUAUUGAAUCCUCUUCACAAUAUGGCCGAUUAUUUAUCGCCGGCUAAUUUCGGAGAAAACACUGUUUCGGAACACCCGUUUAAUUCGUAAUCCGCGCUUUUUAUUAUGUAUAUACUUAACCGAGGUAUUUUGUACGCAUUUUUUUAAGAAAACCUCUCUUCUCUGUCGAUAUUUGGAUUCUUGUUCAUUUUGCGGCAAUACGUUACGCGAAGAUGAGAUUCUGUAAUGAUUUUGUCGAUCUUUCUCCUCCACGUAACGAUGUUGCGAGAAAGCGAGUAGCUUUGUACACGAAUGUAUGCGACUUAUUAAUUACAACUUUCGAUUAAGUAAUAAGUAGCGUUAUCGUAAGAAGCUUGCAUGUAACUCGUUCAGUGACGCGUAGCAAAUCGCUCAAAUUUGUUAUAUAUAUACGCAAUACAAUUAGUUUUAUUCGGUUCACGAACCGAACAUGCCUGAAUAGAAAAAUUAUCCCGCGCGACAGAUAUUACUCACUUGGAUACUCGACAAAUCAUUGCCACCUGUAAAUUCCGUAUAAAAACUGAAAAAAUCAUACACAGGAAUUGCGAUCUCGAAGAUGGUCGAGGCACGGAGAAGAGAAAAAGAAAUAAUUAAAAGCUCUAGCACAGAUAUUGAAAAUUAAAUUUAUUAACUCAGAGAGUUGAACUUAAGUUCUAUCUAGUGAUAUACAAUUAUAUAGCGAUGUAAGUCCCGAUGUGUAUAAAUCUACUUGCGCGCACCAACAUGCGCGCGAGUAAAUUCAUAUUCAAUAAAAAAAAUUCCAUCCAAAAAGCGCAGACGAGGAAAUAAGUAACGAGUAGGUUGAGGAUAUCAUCUCGAUACAAUUUUAGGCUACUAAAAAAAAAAGAAAUAAAGAAAAGCAAGUCGAGACUACUCUAACUAUAGAAGGAAGCAUCUCAGUAAAUGUAAUUAGAUAGGAUGCGUAUUUUAAGUAUCCGUUGUCAGGUACGAGUUCGUGCGACCAUCAGCGAGAGUCGCGUUAAAUCGCGAGAGAAGGGAGAUGUCGAGUUUAAGUAGCCGGCACUUCUAAGGCGUCAAUGCUCCGUCUUUUCUCUUCUCAUCUUCGCGAGAAGAGAUCUUCCUCGAGGAAUAACUGUGUCCGUUAACGUGCGAGUCCAUUUGCGAUAGUUUUACGUACGCAACUCGUAUCCGAAUCGAGAUGAAGACAUUUACACGUUUGAGAAAAACUACAGCUACAAAUCACUGGGUCUGAUUCGCGAGCGGUGGACGCGCAGCUUCCGGAUUAAAUUCGCGCGAACUCGGAUCGGCAUGUCGCGCGAUGCAGCUGUGUAUUAUCGAGGAAGGAUUAUUACAUGCACAUAUAUCUCUUCGAUGGCUAACAGAAUCGUGACUGCUUCGGAAAAGCGCCGUAUUCUCUCCAUUCCUAAAUGAUCGUGAUUCGAGCCAACGGACAUAUUGCCAAACCAUCGUAUCAAUGCGCGAAGGAACGAAAAAAGAUAACGUAUUAUUUUUAUAUAAUUUGUCAUCUUUGUAUUAUUGUUACGAUGGUUGAGAAAGGGGACUUGUAUAAAAUACGAUAGAUUGUAACUCGGUGAAAAGUUGCGCACACACGAUUCGCGUAAACGGCAUUUAACACGGAACACAUACACACAGGAUUAACACAUACGCGCUUAUAACGACAUAACACACAGUUCGUCGAGCAGACUCUUAUUUGUCAGUAGAAUUGCCAUCACGCAUCACAAUGGGAGAAGAAUGCAUUGCAUUUUAACGUUAAGGCGAAACUGCGAUAAUUCGCAUUUGUAGCGGUAUCGAGCUUCUGCGAGAAUCGUUCUCCGAAUUUCAAAUGUAGAAAUGAUCGAGACUACCAGAUAUUAGCAAAUUAGAGUUAUUAACUACAUGUAAAUUGAUCUUUUUUCCAGCCAAAAAUCUCGAAUAAUCGAUAAAUCUCGACCUAUCAAAAGAUUUCCAAUUAUAUUCUUAAAAUCUAAAAAAGUAGAAUAAGAAAAUUAAAUGAAUUAAAAAAACCCCAUCCGCAAACAAUUGGUUUUAAAUCGCACAUAUCUGUACUUGCCAUUGCUCAUUUGAAAUGCAUAGAACCUGUCUUCACGGAAUGCGGAAUAUCAGAUUGUAAAAAGAUUUAACUCUUAGAUUGUGUCAGACGCGCUGAUGACACUCUUCUAUCGGGCUAACGAUGUUUCACCGAUAAAUGAUGUCUGGCAUUCAAAGGGUUAAUUAGACUGUUAGAGAGCUAGAGCUACGUAAAAAUAAUCCAUAUCAUUAAGAACACGAAAUAGAGCGAUUUUUUGUAUUGGAGGUACUGGAAGAGAAAGAGAAAUGAAAAAGAAAUAUAAGCUAUUUCUCUCUUCCUUUCUCUUUCUCUUUCUGGAUUGCGUUUUACGGGCUGCACACGUGUGUCAUACAUCCUACAUACACACUCAACACACGUGGAGAAGAGUCCGUGAAAACGUGUAUUUAGCUCAAUCUUUCCUUUUUAUAUUUUGUAAAUACAGCGGAUAUAUAAAAAUAAAAGUGGUAAACAUUUUUAUAGUUAAUUUUAUAAUUUAUUUACUAUGCGCGAAAGAGAGAGAGAAAGAGAAACAAGGGGAGAAAGUUCGUCUCUCUUCAUUGACCAUCAUUGCACGAAUGAAAUCGACGAGAAUUAAGAGUAAGAUAGGGGUGUACAUGUUACAGAGACACUCGUUACACACACGUAUACAUACACAUAGAAACAUACACGCGCACGAUUGUAGAUAAUUUGUAACAGUUGCUAUUGUCAAGUACCACAUACACGUAUAAAGCGACAUAUGCUGAUAUAUAUCAUUGCGUAUUAUACUGAUAACGAUUAAUAAAAGGUAAUGUUGAAAAUUGAA